UUUUGAAUAUGCUAUAGAUUAAAAUAUUUUCUGAUCAUAACUGCAUAAAUGUUGACCUUUAAACAGUUUAUUCUAGUUCCAAUUCUGUGGGAAGUAUACAGGAUUUAAAUCUUUAAAAAAAUCACAGCAGUGUUUUCAGUUACUAAUAUAUAAUUAAGAUAAUUUCUUUUUUUUAAAAUUAUAGUUUGUUUUGUCAGUCAAAACCAAGGGAGAAGAUUGUUCCCAAGUGGCAUGAAAAGCCCUACGAGUGGAAUCAGUGUCUUCUAUGUGAUGUCCCGGCAAAGAGUCAGACACCAGGAUAACUCACUGCCUGUGAGUUGGGAAAAAAAGGUUGAUCCAAAGCUGGUCAUGGAGCAGGCCGACCACGAGAGCAGCAGAGGGAAGAACACCUUUCUCUACCAGCUCCACAAACUGGUUGUGCUCGGCACCUGAGCGUGUCCACAGGUGGCCUCCAGCACACCCCUCAGGAAGCUGCAGAGGCUGGAUUCCAGGCUCCCUCUGCAGACUGACUUUCCUCUGUGUCUGGGCUUUACAGUCUGUGUCCACUGCAUCCUAAAGGCCUUUUCUUUCUUCUUUUCUCUUUGGGUGAUAGUCAGAGAGUGGUGUUUUUGUUCAGGUGGGAAGGAUUGGA
rnacentral:sRNA from 1 species